GGGGGCGAGCUACCAUGCAAGUCGAACGGUAACAGGAAGCAGCUUGCUGCUUUGCUGACGAGUGGCGGACGGGUGAGUAAUGUCUGGGAAACUGCCUGAUGGAGGGGGAUAACUACUGGAAACGGUAGCUAAUACCGCAUAACGUCGCAAGACCAAAGAGGGGGACCUUCGGGCCUCUUGCCAUCGGAUGUGCCCAGAUGGGAUUAGCUAGUAGGUGGGGUAAAGGCUCACCUAGGCGACGAUCCCUAGCUGGUCUGAGAGGAUGACCAGCCACACUGGAACUGAGACACGGUCCAGACUCCUACGGGAGGCAGCAGUGGGGAAUAUUGCACAAUGGGCGCAAGCCUGAUGCAGCCAUGCCGCGUGUAUGAAGAAGGCCUUCGGGUUGUAAAGUACUUUCAGCGGGGAGGAAGGGAGUAAAGUUAAUACCUUUGCUCAUUGACGUUACCCGCAGAAGAAGCACCGGCUAACUCCGUGCCAGCAGCCGCGGUAAUACGGAGGGUGCAAGCGUUAAUCGGAAUUACUGGGCGUAAAGCGCACGCAGGCGGUUUGUUAAGUCAGAUGUGAAAUCCCCGGGCUCAACCUGGGAACUGCAUCUGA
rnacentral:rRNA from 1 species